GUCCGCACUAGCUGCCCCUAACCUGCCCCGGGAGCCCGGGAGUGCGGCUUGGGAAGGAGGGAAAGGAGUGUGUGAGGAGGGAUUGGCCCGAACCUUCCUCCACGCUCUCCCCCGGGACUGGAGGUGAAGGGGGGCAUGGAGAAAAUCUCAGGGAACACGGGCUUCGCCAGGGGGCUCCCGUCCGCCCGAGCCCCCUCCUCAAACUGCAAGGCCUGCACAGUAUGCCUUCUCCGCAAAACCCCGGCAAGUGGGUUAGUAAAUUCAGGUCACUAAGAAGCUGAGCCCGCGGAAAGCCUCCCAAACACCCAGUUCUCUAGGGCACUCCCCAAGCCCCCCGCCGGGACGCGUUCCCAAAGCCGCCGCCUGGACUGCAACCGCGUGGCCUGCGCCGCGUCCUCUUCUCCGCAGCCUCCGAGGCCCGUGCGACCAAGUUGAAAUCCCUUAUUCUCCGGAGCCCCUAUGACCCCGGUUGGGGGCCAGGGCUCGCCUCGAUCGCAGCCCGUGCGCCCUCCGGACUCCAGCUCGCCGGAACUGGGCGGCACCAGAAGCGGCUAGUGUGAGUGAAACAAACGGCAAAUGUGCUCUGGCCAGCCUGCCCGGCCACCCACGGCUGCCUGUUGGCCAAUCACCAUUUGACUAGUCUAGGAAGAGCAACUGUGGCAGGCCUGAUUUCCUGGGAGGCCCCAGACUCCCUUUGCCUACCUCUUCCUCUCUGACCCCAUCCUUGCUUCGACGUCCGGGACCUGCUACCCAGGCACCUGGGUCCUCUCUGCUGGAUGUGGACAUCUUGGCCUCUUGCCUUAGUGCCUGUUCUUGGGAAGCGGGUCCAGACGUCUCUUCUGCAGGAGGAGAGGAAGGGUUAAUUACAGGUGUUGGGGUUAAUUAAAGCCUUUGACCAAGAGGA